GUCGUGAGAUGUGGGUUAAGUCCGUAACGAGCGCAACCCUUGUCCUUAGUUACCAGCACGUUAUGGUGGGCACUCUAAGGAGACUGCCGGUGACAAACCGGAGGAAGGUGGGGAUGACGUCAAGUCAUCAUGGCCCUUACGGCCUGGGCUACACACGUGCUACAAUGGUCGGUACAAAGGGUUGCCAAGCCGCGAGGUGGAGCUAAUCCCAUAAAACCGAUCGUAGUCCGGAUCGCAGUCUGCAACUCGACUGCGUGAAGUCGGAAUCGCUAGUAAUCGUGAAUCAGAAUGUCACGGUGAAUACGUUCCCGGGCCUU
rnacentral:rRNA from 1 species